GACCACCUACGGGGCGCAGCAGUGGGGAAUAUUGCACAAUGGGGGAAACCCUGAUGCAGCAACGCUGCGUGAGUGAAGAAGUAUUUCGGUAUGUAAAGCUCUAUCAGCAGGGAAGAAAAAAGACGGUACCUGACUAAGAAGCCCCGGCUAACUACGUGCCAGCAGCCGCGGUAAUACGUAGGGGGCAAGCGUUAUCCGGAUUUACUGGGUGUAAAGGGAGCGUAGACGGCAUAGCAAGUCUGAAGUGAAAGCCCGUGGCU
rnacentral:rRNA from 1 species